GGCACUGGGCAAGAGUCAGUAGCUCUGUGGAUACGCAUGUGGUCAGCAAAGACGAGCAGAAAUGAACCCAUGCUCGGUGCGGGCUGUCCUGCUUUCCUGAGCUCAGCUGCUCGAGUGUGUUUCAAGAAGAAUAAUAGUAAAAGCUGAAUGCCUCUGCCACUGAUCGCCGUCCCCUCAUGUCCUGAUUUAGUGAGAGCCACAGAGUGAUCCUGGCCACAUCUCAGAGUGAGAAACAAAUUGCCAAAGGGGCGGAGAACAGUAUCUGCUGGUCAGAGGAUUCUCUCUCCGGGUCCUGAGCUCCAAGACCUGCAGGAACCCACUGCAGUCCGUGUCGGGCUGCAGACACUACCUGCAGCUUUUUACCUCUCCAGUCCCACAUACGCAGGAGAAUUGAUGUAUUUUCACACGGGAUGCCCCCUGACAGUUAAAAGACUGUUUGGCAAUCAAGGACACCAUACUGAUUCCAGCUGGGAACCAAGAUGAGUAAGAUGCAAUCCCUACCUCCAAGGAGGCCAAGACGGGAACAAGAACCUCUAGGUAUCAACUUCCACUUCUCUUCUCUGGAAAAUUUGAGGGCUGUCUCCAAACGGUGCUUCGAUUGCGAGUCAGAGGGAGAAGAAUGUUCAGGUCCCGUAAGCAGAAGCCCCCACAGAGUGUGUUUGCUGGUAACCAGCUUUUCUCAGGUUGUAAUGACUGAAGGUGAAUGAAGGAUUGAAGGCUUCGGGUGGAGAAUUAUCAAUCAGAUAGGGUGAAUAAACUCAAUUCCUCCAAAACACGAGCUAUUUCAAAGGUCACUGUCUUAAGAAAAAAUGUUGAUCAAUGGUCUCUUUCAGGAAAUCAACUCCGUUGAAAUAUAAUUUAUACUGCUUUUUACUUUUGUCUUCUUUCAGUGAAUUAAACUAUAGCCAC
rnacentral:lncRNA from 1 species